GUUGACCUCGGAUCAGGUAGGGAUACCCGCUGAACUUAAGCAUAUCAAUAAGCGGAGGAAAAGAAACCAACAGGGAUUACCUCAGUAACGGCGAGUGAAGCGGUAACAGCUCAAAUUUGAAAGCUACCAACAGGUCGCAUUGUAAUUUGUAGAAGAUGCUUUGGGUGUUGGCCUAGUCUAAGUUCCUUGGAACAGGACGUCAUAGAGGGUGAGAAUCCCGUACGUGAUUAGUGCC
rnacentral:rRNA from 1 species